UUCCAGAGCCCUUUAACGAAGAUGUCUGAAAUUACGAACUAUUUGAAGUAGCUGGAUAGGGUGACUGGAAAACAAACUUGGAGUGAAAGAACAUUAUAGCUAAUGAGGAAACACUGUAUACUUAUCUCAUGCAAGCAAAUGAAAUAAACUUAAAGACUGGUAAAGUACAGAAUUCCCCUAAGGAUGCAGAAAAGACAAGAAAAGACAAGAAAAGACAAGAAAAGACAAGAAAAGACAAGAAAAGACAAGAAAAGACAAGAAAAGACAAGAAAAGACAAGGUUGAGGGGAGAUGCUUUGGAACGCAAUGCAGAGGGAGAUUUUCUAGGAGAAGAGAAUGGCAAGUUUUGAUCACAGGGGGUCAUUGACCUUGACUAGUAACAAAAAAACCUAAUCAUUUUCACCCUAUGGAUGAUCAAACCUUUCUACAUAUCAGACAUCAAAAAUGAUGCCUCCUAUUUAUUUCCAUGGAAACUACAACUGAUAAUAAGAGCUCAAUAAUGUUAUUUGAUAAAGCAAGUUCUCAGCUACAAAACAUUGUUUUUCAACGUAGCCACCAUGAUUAGCAAUACGUUUUCACCAGCCAUGAACAAUAACUCACUGUUUCAUAUCUGCUAUGAAGGUGUCAUUGCUGAAAUUCACCACCUACUACGUCAUUGUGCUCACAGCCACUGUUCGUCUCCAUAAACAUUCAGUAACCAUUGAUGAAUGUGAAUGGUACCAUUUUUUCUUCAUAGAAGUAUUCAGUUCCUCACCUUUGCUUCAUUCUGUCAGACGACCCCUCUGCUGCUAUCUGUCACAUGGCAACAACAUGUAAUUAAAUAUUGUUAGGAAGUUUCAGUCUCUACUGCCAUAACAUCAACAUCUGCCUCUGAUGCUGUGGGCCAACCUAAUAAAAUAGGAGGCAUUACUUCCA